AUUUUCUCAGUAACCUAAAGAAAUGUGGAUAGGUGUGGAAACAGAGAGAAGCAGGGACAGUAGAAAAUCUCAGUCAUCCUCUGACUCUUUGGGUUUUCUUUUUAUUUUGCAGAAAGAGCUAAAAUUCCUUUCCCAAAAGCACUGCAAAGUAUUCUUAGAAACGGUUCCUGAGGAAGUAGAGAUGGUGAAGGCUCUUUUAAGUAGGAAGUCAUAUCAAAAUAGAAAAAAAACCCUAGAAGAACCGAGAUAUUAACUGUAUGUAUGUGAACCCUUGGAGAGAUUUAAUUUACAGUAAGCUAAGGAAGAGCUCUUUGACAUCAUAUAGAAUUGAAAAGGUAAUAUAUCCCUCUCAUCCUCACUGUAUAAUAUAUGUACAAUCAGGCACCUUUUGGGAGGAUUGAUCUAGUUUCUGUUUUUCAGAUCAGAACAGUCAAGCCUGUUGAGGAGGAAAAAGGUGUGUUCUACAAAAUGCAGUGAGUCUAAGCCACAGAUUUCUGUAUUUUUCUGACAGAAUUCAGUAAAAUUUUCACUUUAAGCAGAAAGUUGUCCCUUCUUUUCUCUUUGUUGUGCACCCACUCAGUAGCAAAGUCAACUUCACUUACAAAUUGUAAUAGUCACACUGUUUUUAUUUGAUGUGCUUCAAACCUUUUACAAAGUCCCAGCUGCUUUCUGGUCCUCAUGACAUCGAGAUGGUAGGUCAGAGAGUGGCCUGGAUAACUAUCUUCUCAGCUGGGAGGUGACACUGCUCAUUCCUUUCAUUUAGUGAGAGUCGCUUGGAGGGCACCUCUGGAUUCACCAUUACCACAGUGGCUGCAUCCUCAGCUCACCUCAUGGCAGUCCUACCCGAUCACUGCACUUGCACAGCAGCAAACUUGGGGCACACUGUUGCCCAGUGCUGGUGUUCUGUUGCCAAGUGUACUUUUUUGGAAGAGAGAUGAAAUUUUCACAAUCCCAGCAGACAUGCUGACAUUUUGUACCACCCGUGCUCUUUCAAACCAAGGGAGCUUGGAAAUGCACUGCUUGACGUCAAAGGGCUAUGUCAUUUUUACAGCACUAGCAGAAGACUGUAAGUGUAAUUUGCCUUUAGACAAUGAGGUAUUUCCUUUUCAUGAGUAUAUUCUCCUAUCCUGAAGUGUUAAAUAAUUUCCCAUCUCUGUUGAUUUUAAAAUAUGUUGGUUUGUGAACAGCUUUUGUGAUUGACUCCCAAACAGAAUUAACUUUGAUCUCAGUUGAUCUUGUUGUGACUUCUCAUU
rnacentral:lncRNA from 1 species